ACGCUCGACACCUACGGGAGGCAGCAGUGGGGAAUAUUGCACAAUGGGGGAAACCCUGAUGCAGCGACGCCGCGUGAGUGAAGAAGUAUUUCGGUAUGUAAAGCUCUAUCAGCAGGGAAGAAGAUGACGGUACCUGAGUAAGAAGCCCCGGCUAACUACGUGUCAGCAGUCGCGGUAAUCUGAGCGGGCUGGCAAGGC
rnacentral:rRNA from 1 species